AUUUUUUUUGCCACUCUCUCUUUCGCAGCAUUUUUUUUUCAAUAGCUUAUACUAUUUAGAUUCUUUAAUUAUAGUUGACGUUGAGUUUUCUAGCUUCAUGCAUUGCUUUUAAUAAUACAUAUUGCUAUGAGGUAUAACAUUUGGUUCAGGGCCUCUUUUAAGGAUGUGUAACUGGAGGGGACAUAUUUAGCGGGGGACCUGGAGAAGUUCCAGUCGGCAAGUCUGUAUCACUGCAGUUACCUGCAGCAUAUAUAUGCAUGGUUUAACUAAUAAGUACACGUCAUAGGGCAGCAGAUCAGGCCAUAACUAGGAUUCUGAGACAACCGAGUCGACCACCGAAGGUGCAAGCCUCUCGAGGAGUCUGGGGGCAUGCCCCCCCCCGCAGAAAAUUUUGGAUUUCU